GAUGAACGCUAGCGAUAGGCUUAACACAUGCAAGUCGAGGGGCAGCAUGGUCUUAGCUUGCUAAGACUGAUGGCGACCGGCGCACGGGUGCGUAACGCGUAUGCAACUUGCCUCACAGAGGGGGAUAACCCGUCGAAAGACGGACUAAUACCGCGUACACUCCAUCUUGGGCAUCCAAGGUAGAGGAAAUGAAAUUCGCUGUGAGAUAGGCAUGCGUCCCAUUAGCUAGUUGGUGAGGUAACGGCUCACCAAGGCGACGAUGGGUAGGGGAACUGAGAGGUUGAACCCCCACACUGGUACUGAGACACGGACCAGACUCCUACGGGAGGCAGCAGUGAGGAAUAUUGGUCAAUGGGCGAGAGCCUGAACCAGCCAAGUCGCGUGAAGGAUGACUGUCUUAUGGAUUGUAAACUCCUUUUAUACGGGAAUAACAAGAGUCACGUGUGACUCCCUGCAUGUACCGUAUGAAUAAGCAUCGGCUAACUCCGUG
rnacentral:rRNA from 1 species